AAGCUAAAAAAGCCCCCAAAGAAGAAGAUGAAAAUGGUAGCAAGAACCGUAUCAUCGGAGCUGGAAGACGAGGCCAAAGAUGCUUCAGACGGCGAAGGUUCUAUAGGAAGCUGUGGAUUGGAAAAGGAUUACUUUUCUUCCGAUGAUGAAGCAAUAGAGGUUGACAAUGAAGAUGAUGUUCAGCCCUGUGACAAAGAAAAUAAAAAUGCCGUAGAAUCAAGUGUUGGGACUAAUACAGGCUGGGCAGAUGCCAUGGCUAAAAUCCUUAACAAAAAAACUCCUAAAAGUAAAUCCACCAUUCUGGUAAAAAAAAAAUAAAGGGCUGGAGAAGGAAAAAGAAAAGUUAAAACAAGAAAGAAUAGAGGAAAAAAAACAGCAUGAUAAGAAGCUGGAGUGGGAAAUGUUGCACAGAGUAAAGCCAGAUGUUGUCCAAGACAAAGAGACAGAAAGAAAUUCAGAGAAUUGCAACGAGGGGUGUGGUACAAUUAUUUAAUGCUGUUCAGACACAUCAAAAGAACGUUGAUGAAAAAGUUAAAGAAGCUGGAAGCUCUAUUAGAAAGUGUGCUAAGUUGACAUCAACUGUUUCCAAGAAAGAUUUCAUUAGCGUUUUGAGAGGAAUGGAUGGAAGUACAAAUGAGACAAGUUCUACUGUGAAGAGUCCAAAAGCCAAACAGACUGAAGUGAAAUCAGAAGAGGCCCAGGACUGGAAAAUCCUGUGUGAGGAUUUCAUGAUGGGAGCAUCUAUGAAAGACUGGGGCAAGGAAAGUGAUGUACCAGAUGACAGCAGACCAGAAUCUGCAAGUGACUCUGAUACAUAAAGCAUUGUAGAAAAUAAAAUUUGCAAUCAUUUUAUUUUUUCUAGAAAAAUAAUUCAUCCUCUGAUAGGUGGGGAGUUAUAAGGAUACCACUUGUAAGAAAGCAAAAAGACUUUUACCAGCUUUGGUAUUACCCCUUUUCACUUACACUUUAUUAAAAUUAUAUUUU